UGUGAGUUUAGAGGAAGGAGAAGUCGUAACAAGGUUUCCGUAGGUGAACCUGCGGAAGGAUCAUUGUACACACAAUGCAGCAAACCAGCGAACUGUUGUUGUCCCGCGAGGGGCCUCACCCGGAGGUGGGGCCGUCGAUGGCGUGGCCGGACCGUGGGCGUAGCGGGUGCUCGUCGUCGGCUGGAGUGUCCCAUUGUGGUGGCUUGGGCUGUUUGCUGUCCCCGAAGGGGGCCGCAGGCAGUCGGGGUCGGGCGCUCCCCUCCCCCUUUGUUCCCCGUCUUUGGGGGCCUCUGGGGCCGCUUUCUCACAAGCAAGCUGGAGGAACAGGAACGAAGAGACUGAGCCUUGGGGUUGCAAAAGCCCCAAUCGAGAAGCAAAGUAACGACUCUCAGCAACGGAUAUCUUGGCUCUUGCAACGAUGAAGAACGCAGCGAAAUGCGAUACCUAGUGUGAAUUGCAGAAUUCCGCGAAUCAUCGAGUCUUUGAACGCAAGUUGCGCCCGAGGCUUGUCCCGAGGGCAUGCCUGCCUGAGCGUCACCGCACUCCCAGCUGGACAAUGUUCAGUGUGGAACUGGCCGUCCGGGGCCCGGCGUGGGUCGUGGUCGGCUGAAAUGUAGCUAUGUGGAUGCAGCCCAAGAGAGAGGCCGCGAGAAGGUGAUCCGCUCUCGGUGGAGCGGAGUGGGCAGCGGCUCUCGCUUGGGUGAUCCCCCUGAGUACCUGCUUGGACCUCAGAUCAGGCAAGAUUACCCGCUGAGUUUAAGCAUAUCACUAAGCGGAGGAAAAGAAACUAACUAGGAU
rnacentral:rRNA from 1 species